AACCUGCCCUUGACUCUGGGAUAAGCACUGGAAACGGUGUCUAAUACCGGAUACGAACUUCAGCCGCAUGGCUAGGAGUUGGAAAGAAUUUCGGUCAAGGAUGGACUCGCGGCCCAUCAGCUAGUUGGUGAGGUAAUGGCCCACCAAGGCGACGACGGGUAGCCGGCCUGAGAGGGUGACCGGCCACACUGGGACUGAGACACGGCCCAGACUCCUACGGGAGGCAGCAGUGGGGAAUAUUGCACAAUGGGCGCAAGCCUGAUGCAGCAACGCCGCGUGAGG
rnacentral:rRNA from 1 species